AGCCCCUUCCCGGUUCCUUUUAUAGAUACUUUCAGCAUGUUUGAAGGAGGAGAAGCGAUCGGAGAAGCUGAAACGCUGCUGGGAGUGGAUGAGACUCGGAUUAGAUGAAGUCGAAUCGCUUGGGAUCUUCGGCUGCUGGGAUGCUUCCACUGUUGCUUGGAAUGAUCCGCUUGGAAGACAAAAAGCCAUGCGGCUGGUUGAUGCCACAACGCUUGAGAUGCCAUGGACGGAUGUUGGGAUGCGGUUGGGAAGUGUGGAAGAAGAUGACUGUUGGGGUGUUGAGAAGACUCCUCACAGCCGCUGGAUUUGUGGAUGAGCUGGGAAGAAACAGGGGAGAUGGAAGGACUCUGAGGAGAUGCCACGAUCGGUUGGGAAAACUGGGAAGCUCCUCACGGACGCGUGCUCGAACGGAUGGAAUGUGGCGACGGUUGAAGAGCUGAGUGCUGGGUUUGUUCCAAAACAGAGGAGAUGGAAUGUUGCCACGGACGGUUGGAAGACUUUAACGUUGGGAAGUUGAUGGCAAACGGAUACUUGGUUUGAGAAGCAAUUGAAUUGCUUUGGGACUCUCGAGACGGCACAGGGACAAUUGAAGUUGUUGGAAAAUCACUUGCUUCAGCUCGUUGAUGUGGAUACAUGGAAAUUUUAGGUUAGGAACUGUUGUCGCCUCAUCACGGACACUGGAGAAUUUGUUGAGCUCGAACUACCGAGCAUUGGGCUAAAAUCCAGCGUUAUUGGGUCUUUUGAAUUACAUGCACUCAGACACAAAUAAAACAUUAAUUAAUUAAUUUUAUUAAUAAAGAUUAGCUAUAAUACUAAUUAAGAUAAUAUUAAAAUUUUACUUUUGUACUCUCAUCAGUGCUAAUGUGCUCGAUCAGAUCAUGGCAGGAUUGGGCCCGCGCGGUUUGGGGCCAUGAUGCAUCCGUCUAAACCCUACCAAAUGUGUAUUUAUACUAACCUGUGCCAAACAAAAAUAUAAUAUUAACUUAGUGAUUUUAUCGUUAUAUGUUAGCAGUAAUACUAAUUUAAGCAGCGUGUAGAUCGCACUUUUGUGCUCUCAUCACACCCUCCAACUAGCUUAUUGCUAGUCUCUAGCAAUUAACGAGUAAACGAUAAAAUGAGGGCACAAAAGAUGUAGUCUCACCCAUGACUUUUUAUUGAAGCUAAGUACAUAAAACUGAGAUACGUACCCAUUUUCGUAAAGCAUCACGAUUGCACUUAGCACGUGCAACAAACCUUUAGACCCCUAGGUUACCCUAGUGGACGAGUGUUGUCUCGUGAGGGUUUGCAGUGAAGUUACCCACAAACUUCAUCAGUCAGGAAUUUCCAAUUUUUAACUCGAAAUUUGAACAAGUAUUACUGUAUGAAACUAGAAUUGCAAGGACAAUAGAGACUUGUUGCUAUCAUAUUUAAGUAGACUCUAACUCAAGUUUCAUUACACCCCAUCUAUCUGCUAACAAGUCAAGAAUGUAGUGCGGUGCAAGAUAGUAUCAUAUAAAUGAGUGGCUUUCACUUACUUCCAACAUGAUCACUCCAAUUUUUAAGACUUUCUAGAGUUAAAUGGUAAUGAACACCCUAGAUUUAUUUAUUUAUUAUUAUUAUUAUUAUUAUUUAAUCAGACUGAAUACUAAGAAGAAUUACUUGUGCAAUAUCUAGCCUUAUUAAGCUUUCUAGCUAACCCAUGUAGCAAGUGUUAGGCCAAUGACUCCCGAUCCAGAUGGC
rnacentral:lncRNA from 1 species